rnacentral:rRNA from 1 species
GAUGAACGCUGGCGGCGUGCCUAAUACAUGCAAGUCGAGCGGCAGCGCGGUCUUCGGACUGGCGGCGAGCGGCGGACGGCUGAGUAACACGUAGGAACGUACCCCAAACUGAGGGAUAAGCACCAGAAAUGGUGUCUAAUACCGCAUGUGGCCCUGCACCUGUUCUUAUGAUCAUUCGUGGUUUACAUAUCGCAAAUGACUUUAUCGUAGGAAAAGGUGCUGGGUUAAAGCUUCGGCGGUUUGGGAGCGGCCUGCGCAUGAUUAGCUUGUUGGCGGGGUAAUAGCCCACCAAGGCGACGAUCAUUAGCUGGUCUGAGAGGAUGAUCAGCCAGACUGGGACUGAGAACGGCCCAGACUCCUACGGGAGGCAGCAGUAGGGAAUUUUCCACAAUGGACGAAAGUCUGAUGGAGCAACGCCGCGUGCAGGAUGAAUGCCUUCGGGUUGUAAACUGCUUUUAUAUGUGAAGAUUUUGACGGUAGCAUAUGAAUAAGGAUCGGCUAACUCCGUGCCAGCAGCCGCGGUCAUACGGAGGAUCCAAGCGUUAUCCGGAAUUACUGGGCGUAAAGAGUUGCGUAGGUGGCAUAGUAAGUAGGUAGUGAAAUCGUGUGGCUCAACCAUACUCACAUUAUCUAAACUGCUAAGCUAGAGCAUGAGAGAGGUACCUGGAAUUGCUAGUGUAGGAGUGAAAUCCGUAGAUAUUAGCAGGAACACCGAUGGCGUAGGCAGGGUACUGGCUCAUUGCUGACACUAAGGCACGAAAGCGUGGGGAGCAAACGGGAUUAGAUACCCCGGUAGUCCACGCCGUAAACGAUGGAUGCUAGCUGUUAGAGGUAUCGACCCCUCUAGUAGCGAAGCUAACGCGUUAAGCAUCCCGCCUGUGGAGUACGAGCGCAAGCUUAAAACAUAAAGGAAUUGACGGGGACCCGCACAAGCGGUGGAGCGUGUUCUUUAAUUCGAUGGUAAGCGAAGAACCUUACCAGGGUUUGACAUCCUUGGAAUUUCUCCGAAAGGAGAAAGUGCUUUUAGAGCCAAGUGACAGGUGAUGCAUGGCCGUCGUCAGCUCGUGUCGUGAGAUGUUUGGUUAAGUCCAUCAACGAGCGCAACCCUUUUAUUCAGUUGGAUUUUUCUGAAUAGACUGCCCCGGUAACGGGGAGGAAGGAGGGGAUGAUGUCAGGUCCUUAUUUCCCUUACACCCUGGGCUAGAAACACGCUGCAAUGGCCGGUACAAAGGGCAGCUAAGUCGCGAGACGGAGCAAAUCCCAUCAAAGCCGGUCUCAGUUCGGAUAGCAGGCUGAAACUCGCCUGCUUGAAGCCGGAAUCGCUAGUAACGGUGAGUCAGCACAUCACCGUGAAUACGUUCCCGGGUCU